UUUAAUUUACUUUUUGCCAUUAUCUAUCUCGGUGUUUCCUCCACCGCUUCGAUCUCCCUGUUCUUCUUCUCAUAGCUUUGUUCUUAUUUUCUUCCACCGACUCCGGUUCUACCUCACCAAAAUACGCCCUCUUCCUUUCUAUUUUUCGGUUUUUGGUGGUGUCACUAUCGGAAUAAUUAUAGUCCAUCGCUCCCCUUUGUUCUUCUCCUCUCUCGAUUACCUUUACAUCCCAUGAAGGUAUCCGCUCUGUGGUGGUGUUGUCUCGAUUGCGACCGCCUUUUUCAUCGAAUCACAGAGAACGAAAACGUCACCGCUGACGACACCUCGACCUACUUCUCCUGGUCUCCGAAUCAUCUGUAAAUGGGAGAAACGCUACAAGCAACAACCGUUUAUUAGCCGUCGAUCAUUAUCUCGACGUCGUAUCCACCAGUAAUGCUAAUAAAAUUAGGUAAAUUGAUUGUUCGAUUUUUUUGUUCAAUGUGGUGUAUUGCGUUUUUGCUAGGAUUGAGGUUUUAACUUGUUGGAUUGGGAGGAAUUUGAUCCGAGUUGGGUUUUUGGAUACUUUUUUCUGAUUGCAUAAACAUUGGUUGAUAUGAAAAGGGCAUGAUUGAGUAAAGAAUUACUGUUUGGAUGCGUACAAAGAUCUCAAAGAUCAAAAGAAAGUCAGGUUAGAGUGUUAGACCAUGUCCCUGGAGAUUUCAAGGUGUUCCCCAUCCAAUGUUUUCACUUUUCAUGAUAAUUUUCCAUGUUCUAAAACAAGAUUACUGAUGUUAGGGUGCAAGUUGGAUUAGGGUGCUAUAGAUGGUUCAUAUAGAUUUAACAUUAUAUGUCUAUUUAGUCUACACUUACUUUUAUGUUGUUUGUAUUGCAAUAGUAACCCAGCUGGAUGACCUAUGGUGGAUCUGGGUCAUCAAGGUCAGUUUUAGAAGUGGUACAACGAAAUAAAGAAGAAGGAGGAGGCAGGUGGCGGCAGUGGUGGUGGGUCAGAUGUUCAGGCUGAGCAUUGUGUUAAGGUUAAAGGAAAAGGCUAUGGUGUUUCAACUAGGUGCCUCUCACUAAAUUCAUUACCAACAAUUGUGCUAAAAGAGUCACCCCUAAUUAGGAACAGGAAAUAUGUGAUUAUGUGUCGAGUGUAUAAUUUGCUAAAAUAUGGUAGAUUUUUCAUAAUAUUAUGUCUUAUUAAUAUGAAAAUUUUAAAAUAAAAUAUCGUUUUAGAAA